UCUAAGUCAUGAAAUACAUAUGUAUAUUUGUAAUAACUUUUUAUUAUUCUCAAUUUGUAAUAUAAGUAUUGGCAUUUAAAAUUUAUAAUGUUGAUAUUGUAAUAAACCUACCUAUUACCUAACAAAUUUAUUUUUGUAGACAGCAUUAAGUUACAUAGUAAUUUUAAUUAAUUAUAAUUGUAACAUAAAACUUAAAAGUAGUUGAAUAUAUUCCUGAUUCAGAUAUAAUUAUACUAUAAUGAGACGUUUUGGUAUCAAUUAAUGUUGUUUAAUUCAUGUUGUCAACUUGAAUAACAGCACUGUGUAUAAUAUUAAUAUGUCAGGUAAAUAAAAAACAGGCAAUAAACAUUCUGCCAAAUAAUGUUACAUCCUUUGCCUAACCUAAUACAUUUACGAAUUAAAACUGGCAAUACUGACGAAAAAAUGUUAAUAAAUUUGUUUUUAUUGUUGCCAGAGUCUCAGAUGAUUGAGAUGAUGUGGUGUGGCCUGCCAAUGUCAUUACAAUAUAAAUAAAAAAUGAUAGAAGACAAAUACAUAUAUGUCUGUACUUACAUAUCUCUUCAUUCCGCUGACUAAGUUAUACCAUCACAUUAUUUUUUAUUUAUAUUGAAAAGUUGUUGAAAGAUUGGCGGUUCAGAUUACAACAAUAAAAUUAGUAAAUCAUUGAUUAUUUUGUGGACUAAUAUUUAGAUCCUCACAUAAAUGUUAAACUUUUUCUGAAAUAUAUUUACCUAAACUUUAAAAACUUUAUAUUACAGAUAAAUAAUUAACAUGAUUAUUGCUUGACUUAUGACAUACUUAGCAUAAAUUACCACAACUGUUGAUAUCCCGAAAUCACAUACCUAUAGGUUAAUUAAGACUAAACCAAGUCAAAGAGAUCCUUGAAGUUUUCUCUAAAACUCAGAAGGACUAGUCUUAAAACUGUUAUUAGUUAUUUUUUUAUGCCUGGACUCGUGGUAAAACAAUAAUUGGUGAUAGCAUUCGCUACUUUCCCAAAUAAAUAUGGUGACGGGUCUUUAAGUUUAACACUAAUAAAUGAAAUGUGUAGGUAAAUACACAAAAACCUGGUUUUGUUAUAGCUGCAGGUUUUUAUUUUUUAUACUAUAGUUAUACUGUAUUUAUAAAUCCUGAGGAAUAUAUAAGAAAUGCCAAUUUGUAUUAUUCUUUAAGCCUGUAAUUUGGCAAGUGUUUAUAAGAUAAUCACUCGGCCAUGUUAGUUACCCUCACAUUUUUAAUGACAUGUAAUGUGAUAAGAAAAAUAUAAUUAUAUAU